UUGACGUCGUCCGAGAGUCUUAAAAUCCUGCUCUGGCCGGAUUCCAGACUCGUGGGGGAAAGGCUGGAUUUCAACAGAUCACAUGGAUCAAGGCCUUAGGGAGGUGGUUGGGGAUUCACGUAUGCCCUGGACCAUCUGGAGCCCAAGUUGCUGCAGAUCCUGUCACCACGAGUGGACACCCUCUGGCCACCAUAGCAAAGAAGUCUGCAGGCAGGAGAUGGAGUCUCGCUCUGUUGCCUAGGCUGGAGUGCAGUGGCACGAUCUCAGCUCACUGCAACCUCUGCCUUCCCAGUUCAAGCAAUUCUCCUGCCUCAGCCUCCCAGGUAGCUGGGAUUACAGUUUCCAAGGCAGGAAAGGUAAAGAGACAAAGAAAGUGCCUUGUACAGAUGCAAACGGAGGUGUAGACUGUGCAGCUGCCAAAGUGGUGACAAGCAAUCCAGAGGACCAUGAAAGGAUCUUAAUGCAAGUCAUGAACUUGAAUGUGCCGAUGAGGCCUGGCAUUCUUGUCCAGAGACAGAGUAAGGAAGUGUUGGCCACACCCUUAGAAAACAGAAGGGACAUGGAG
rnacentral:lncRNA from 1 species